rnacentral:rRNA from 1 species
GACGGGGGGGGCAAGCGUUGUUCGGAAUUACUGGGCGUAAAGGGUGCGUAGGUGGCUUGGUAAGUCAGACGUGAAAUCCCUCAGCUUAACUGGGGAACUGCGUCUGAUACUGGCGAGCUUGAGUGCAGGAGAGGAACGCGGAAUUCCAGGUGUAGCGGUGAAAUGCGUAGAUAUCUGGAGGAACACCGGUGGCGAAGGCGGCGUUCUGGACUGCAACUGACGCUGAGGAACGAAAGCCAGGGGAGCAAACGGG